UACGAGGGGGGCGAGCGUUGUUCGGAAUUAUUGGGCGUAAAGGGUGCGUAGGCGGUUUGGUAAGUCUUAUGUGAAAUCUAUGGGCUCAACUCAUAGUCUGCAUGAGAAACUGCCGGGCUUGAGUAUGGGAGAGGUGAGUGGAAUUCCUGGUGUAGCGGUGAAAUGCGUAGAGAUUGGGAAGAACACCAGUGGCGAAGGCGGCUUCCUGGUCUGCAACUGACGCUGUGGCGCGAAAGCUAGGGGAGCAAACGGG
rnacentral:rRNA from 1 species